rnacentral:rRNA from 1 species
CUGGAGGUAUCAGAAGUGCGAAUGCUGACAUAAGUAACGAUAAAGCGGGUGAAAAGCCCGCUCGCCGGAAGACCAAGGGUUCCUGUCCAACGUUAAUCGGGGCAGGGUGAGUCGACCCCUAAGGCGAGGCCGAAAGGCGUAGUCGAUGGGAAACGGGUUAAUAUUCCCGUACUUGGUGUUACUGCGAAGGGGGGACGGAGAAGGCUAUGUUGGCCGGGCGACGGUUGUCCCGGUUUAAGCGUGUAGGUGUGUGUUCCAGGUAAAUCCGGUUCACUUUAACACUGAGGCGUGAUGACGAGGCACUACGGUGCUGAAGCAACAAAUGCCCUGCU